rnacentral:tRNA from 1 species
GGAGAAAUACUCAAGAGGCUGAAGAGGCUCCCCUGCUAAGGGAGUAGGGCUCAUUUUAGGGUCGCGAGGGUUCAAAUCCCUCUUUCUCCG